rnacentral:snRNA from 1 species
GUACCCUCCUGGUGGGAGAGACACCAAAGAAAGGGAUUUCCCAGGGUGAGGCUCACCCAUCGCUUUGCAGGUGUUUGGACUCCUGGGGUCUCCCCAGCUGUGGGAAACUCAACUGCAUAAGUUAUUACUAUGGGGGACUGCUUUUCCCUG